CCUAACACAUACGCAAGUCGCACGGUCUUGUUUAGGCCUGUGAGGCGAAAUGAAAAUAAACUGCUACGAAAUUGUAGACCUUCCCGGUUGGCAAUUGCAAUAGCGGCCUGCCUACUUCCUUUAUCUGGGGAUAUGGUGGAGCUGGAGCGUAUGCGUUGGU
rnacentral:rRNA from 1 species